GACGAACGCUGGCGGCGUGCUUAACACAUGCAAGUCGAACGGAAACGCCCUGCUUGCAGGGUCCUCCAGUGGCCAACGGGUGGGUAACAGGUGGGUGAUCUGGCCUGUACUUCUGGGUAAGCCUUGGAAACUGGGUCCAAUCCCGGAUAGGAGCCAUUUCUUGCGUGAUGGUUGGAAAGAUCUUUCGGUGUUGGACGAGCUCGCGGGCUAUCAGCUUGUUGGGGGGGUAAUGGGCUACCGAGGCGGCGAGGCGUAGCCGGACUGCGGGGGUGGGAGGCCACCUUGAGUCCGAGAGACGGCCCAGGCGCCUACGGGAGGCAACAGGGGGGAAGAUUGCACCAUGGGCGCAAGCCUGAUGCAGAGGGGCCGCGGGUGGGAUGACCGCCUUCUGGUUGUAGACUACUUUCGCUAGGGACGAAGCUUUUUGUGACGGUACCUAGAUAAGAAGCACCGGCUAACUACGUG
rnacentral:rRNA from 1 species